CUCCAAAAUGUAAUGUGUUCUUCCUCGGCCCAUGCCACACCCUUCUACCAAGUUUCAUUAAAAUCAGGCCAGUAGUUUUUUCUGUAAUCAUGCUGACAAACAAAGAAACCAAACC